GGGCCGGUAGCUCAGUGGUAGAGCACGUGACUUUUAAUCAUGUGGUCGCGGGUUCGAUCCCCGCCCGGCUCACCA
rnacentral:tRNA from 4 species